UACGUAGGGGGCAAGCGUUGUCCGGAAUCAUUGGGCGUAAAGCGCGUGUAGGCGGCUCGGUAAGUCUGCUGUUAAAGUCCAGGGCUCAACCCCGGGAUGCCGGUGGAUACUGUCGAGCUCGAGUCCGGAAGAGGAGUGUGGAAUUCCUGGUGUAGCGGUGAAAUGCGCAGAUAUCAGGAGGAACACCAAUGGCGAAGGCAGCACUCUGGGACGUGACUGACGCUGAGACGCGAAAGCGUGGGGAGCAAACAGG
rnacentral:rRNA from 1 species